rnacentral:rRNA from 1 species
CAGUAGCCACGGUAAUACGAAGGGUGCAAGCGUUACUCGGAAUUACUGGGCGUAAAGCGUGCGUAGGUGGUGGUUUAAGUCCGUUGUGAAAGCCCUGGGCUCAACCUGGGAAUUGCAGUGGAUACUGGGUCACUAGAGUGUGGUAGAGGAUAGUGGAAUUUCCGGUGUAGCAGUGAAAUGCGUAGAGAUCUGAAGGAACAUCUGUGGCGAAGGCGACUAUCUGGGCCAACACUGACACUGAGGCACGAAAGCGUGGGGAGCAAACAGGAUUAGAUACCCCAGUAGUCCCUGUCUCUUAUAC